rnacentral:rRNA from 1 species
GGUUGGUACUUGUACCAACUGGAUGAGCAGCGAACGGGUGAGUAACGCGUGGGGAAUCUGCCUUUGAGCGGGGGACAACAUUUGGAAACGAAUGCUAAUACCGCAUAAAAACUUUAAACACAAGUUUUAAGUUUGAAAGAUGCAAUUGCAUCACUCAAAGAUGAUCCCGCGUUGUAUUAGCUAGUUGGUGAGGUAAAGGCUCACCAAGGCGAUGAUACAUAGCCGACCUGAGAGGGUGAUCGGCCACAUUGGGACUGAGACACGGCCCAAACUCCUACGGGAGGCAGCAGUAGGGAAUCUUCGGCAAUGGGACGAAAGUCUGACCGAGCAACGCCGCGUGAGUGAAGAAGGUUUUCGGAUCGUAAAACUCUGUUGGUAGAGAAGAACGUUGGUGAGAGUGGAAAGCUCAUCAAGUGACGGUAACUACCCAGAAAGGGACGGCUAACUACGUGCCAGCAGCCGCGGUAAUACGUAGGUCCCGAGCGUUGUCCGGAUUUAUUGGGGCGUAAAGCGAGCGCAGGUGG